rnacentral:rRNA from 1 species
GACGAACGCUGGCGGCGUGCCUAAUACAUGCAAGUCGAGCGAGCUUGCCUAGAUGAAUUUGGUGCUUGCACCCAAUGAAACUAGAUACAAGCGAGCGGCGGACGGGUGAGUAACACGUGGGUAACCUGCCCAAGAGACUGGGAUAACACCUGGAAACAGAUGCUAAUACCGGAUAACAACACUAGACGCAUGUCUAGAGUUUAAAAGAUGGUUCUGCUGUCACUCUUGGAUGGACCUGCGGUGCAUUAGCUAGUUGGUAAGGCAACGGCUUACCAAGGCAAUGAUGCAUAGCCGAGUUGAGAGACUGAUCGGCCACAUUGGGACUGAGACACGGCCCAAACUCCUACGGGAGGCAGCAGUAGGGAAUCUUCCACAAUGGACGCAAGUCUGAUGGAGCAACGCCGCGUGAGUGAAGAAGGGUUUCGGCUCGUAAAGCUCUGUUGGUAGUGAAGAAAGAUAGAGGUAGUAACUGGCCUUUAUUUGACGGUAAUUACUUAGAAAGUCACGGCUAACUACGUG